ACAUCGGUUCUGAGGGUCGGUCAAAGGCCCUGGGAAUGUAUCUACCCACGGGUAGACUUAUAGACCAGGGUGUCAUGCGGCCUCUCGGGACCGAGGAACGCGCUUCGGCUCGGAUGUUGGCGUAAUGGUUGUCAGCGACCCGUCUUGAAACACGGACCCAGAGCUUCUCCCCGAGCACGUACCGGACGAGGGCACCCGGGACCCGGUCCUCUCCUUUCACUAGGAAACUUUUUCAAGGUUGACCUCGGAUCAGGUAGGAAUACGCGCUGAACUUAAGCAUAUCAAUAAGCGCAGGAAAAGAAACCAACAGGGAUUACCUUAGUAACGGCGAGUGAAGCGGUAAUAGCUCAAAUUUGAAAUCUGGCCUCUUGGGGUCCGAGUUGUAAUUUGUAGAGGAUGUUUUGGGUACCGCCCCGGUCUAAAUUUCUUGGAACAGAAUGUCAAAGAGGGUGAGAAUCCCGUCUUGGACCGGCGGUAGGGCCUGUGUAAAACUCCUUCGACGAGUCGAGUUGUUUGGGAAUGCAGCUCAAAAUGGGUGGUAAAUUUCAUCUAAAGCUAAAUAUUGGCCAGAGACCGAUAGCGCACAAGUAGAGUGAUCGAAAGAUGAAAAGCACUUUGAAAAGAGAGUUAAACAGUAUGUGAAAUUGUUGAAAGGGAAGCGCUUGCAACCAGACUUGAGCGCGGCGGUUCCCCCGGUCUUUUGGCCGGGCUACUCCGUCGUGUCCAGGCCAACAUCGGUUCUGAGGGUCGGUCAAAGGCCCUGGGAAUGUAUCUACCCACGGGUAGACUUAUAGACCAGGGUGUCAUGCGGCCUCUCGGGACCGAGGAACGCGCUUCGGCUCGGAUG
rnacentral:rRNA from 1 species